GAAAAGCCGCCACCGGGUGGCAAUAUGUUGAAAAUCAGCAUUCGUUUGCGCUUCGUUAGGUCUUUGAAAAAGCGCAGGUGAAUGCUUUUUUGAU
rnacentral:ncRNA from 1 species